GCCGGCUGCCUGUGCAGCAGGGGUCCCCGAAACGGUGGCCAGCAGGCAGCCCACACUGGCACCCAGGAGUCAGCCUGCAGCCGUGGCAGCCCUGUGGGGCCUGACCCUCACCAGGCUUUUGUGGCCGCCCAGCUCCACCAGCCCCCACCAACACCGUUUGCAGGGAUUACAGUACCAGUCACAGCCACAGGCAGGGCGGCCUUCCUGCUUCUGAAGUUCUCCAGGGCACACCAGCUUCUAAUGUGCCCAUUAAAGAGGCCAGCGGGGAGCUGGGAAUCUGAAAAGUAUGAAGAGGCCAAUGGGGCCUUACGGUUAGGGAGUCCACCCUCAGUCUGGGAGGAAAAAGAAGAGGAGGAGGAGGAGGAGGAGGAGACCCAAGGGACUUGGAGGCCUCAACGCAGCCCACAGUGAGGCCAGCAGCAAGAUGACGUCCAGCUUGACCUGGCUGUCCGUCCCUGUGAGAACAGCCCGGAGGGUGUCCGGACCGUCCAUCACCGAGCAGGGCCACAUCUGCAGCCUGCAGUGUGCAGAGGGCUCUAAGCACAUUGCUCAUGUCCCUGGGCUGUGGCAACUGCGGGCAAGUAAGGCUAGGCUAGCGCCCCGCAUGGGGAGGGGGUGAGGGUGCUGAGAGGGACCCCGUGCAGGAAAGAGCCUCCUGGCAGAAGACGGGAUGGGGUGCCCCUUUCAACGUGGCUGCUUUUGUUUCUCAUUUCCAGUAGUCAAGGAUAGAAAAGGGCAACAGAGACAGCAGCCCCAGUUCCUGUCCUCUUGGGGUGCCCUGGCAUCCCUAAACUGGGAAUGGGUCUCUCAAGUCAGGGGCAGGCAGCCCCAUCUCCCUGCCCUCCCCCCAGGUUCAAGACCCAGACUCCCCUAAACUCCCAGACAUUCAUAGGAUGGCAGCUGGGGGUCAAGCAGAAACUGGGGGACCCAAAGAGCAGGAAAGUCAGCCCAGACCUGGCCCGAGUCCACAGGAGCUGCUGCCCACUUGCAAAUGAAUCACAGUCACUUCCCCAAAGUUUUCCACCCGGACCGAAAAGCAGCCCCAGCCACCUCCUAGCAGACCUCUCUGGGCGGGCUGCGCUGGGAGAGCGCCCGCCCCGCCCCCUCCACGCCGCGGCGCAGCCAUGCGGAAGCCAGGCUUCCUUGCAGGGCCGCUCACAAGCCCAGACCUCGCUUCUCCCUGAAGCCCCCAUGUCCACCCGCGAAUGCACCAGACAUGGGAACACUGGACUGGCGCCUUCCCGGAAAUCCCCAGCCCUAGUCAGGAGCAGCCCGCGGGUCAGGCUCGGGGAUCCCCUGCCCCCACUGGCCCUCCACGGUCAGGGCUGCGAGUUCCAAGGCUCCCGGAACUCCUCUUCCCUGUCUCUUCUUGAGGAUGCGAACUUCCAGGAAGCCCUCCAGGACUGCAGCUCAGCUCGGCACCACUCCAGCCACACCCCAGUUCGAUCCAGUGGAGGGGCCGCUCCCUUCUGACCCGGAAAGGAGCCUGGUGGUGAAGACACGAGACACACAACAGAUGGAGCCUGAGACCUUUAACUCCAAACCCACUCGGCCCAUAAAUGUUGCUCCUGGACCAGGGGCAGAGGCCAGGGCAGGGAGUGGGGAGGACAGUAUUUCCAUCCAGUGGCUGCUCUGUCCUCAAUCCUGGCUCCACUGGACCUGUCCACCAAAGGCCAAUCGAGAGACCCCGUCCGUGUCCGUCUCUAUACUGGGGCACAGCGUGGUGUGUUCUGCUCAUAAUGGAGCAUCAUUGGCAAUGACAUUGUGAAGUCCUGGUUUCACCACAGAUUUUGCUGACAACCACCCCAGAGUCACAGGAGAUAGGAUGUCUGUGGCACUGACUUCCUGCCCUAGGACUUCCAAGUACUGUAACCAACUGGUCCCAGGUGCACACAGUGGCGUGGGUGGGGGUUGGUCUGAUGCUGUUUCUUUGGAAGAGAUUCUGAGAUAAUGGCCACAAAGUCGCUUGACAGAUUUAAUCUUGUGCCAUGCUCUGAGGUAGAGGACUUUCUAGCAUGCAUGAGGCCCUGGAUUCAACCCCUAGUAUCAAAAAAAGAAAAGAAAACAAAACAAAAGGAGCUGCCAUUUUGACCUGGCUCACCACAAUUCUAGAAAACCUUCUCUAACCCUCCUCCUCUGCCGCUUACACCACUUAGACCAGCAGGAUGGCGUCCCCAGGGCAGCCUCCUGGUGUAACAUCCCAGCUGGCCUUAGCCCAGAAGCUCUGGCUCUGUGGUAGGCAUGGUGCUGCUUCCCGGGACUCAGCUCUGCUCCUAGCAGGGAGCUCAGGUCUGCAGCUGUGCAGGAGACAAGUCUGCUGUGGCUCCUGCUCGUGAUCCGAUCCCCCAUGAUCUGCAGUGGACCCCAGCAUCCCACACACUGGCCUCACAGAGCCUCACCUAUUCCAAGGUCCCACCUGUCCCUUGGAAGAGGACCUGUAACAUCUUGGAAUGUCACCCAAAACAGCAGACUUGCUAAGGCAGCUCUGUGGGGACACAAUUCUGCUGAGGGGAAUGGGAACCAAAACUGGCUUCCCUUCGGCAUGUGGCUGUGGCUUGUCCUCCUUUCCGCUCCCCUGAGAGCACCGUUUCCCUCUGCCCUACUAGGAGUCAGUCAUGUGAAGAAAGAAGUUCUAAUCUGAGAGCUGGCCACAUUCUGGGGUCCCCAGAACAAUGUUCCUCUUCCCAGGUCCACUACCAUGGCGAAUCACCUUACCCAGGAGGGCACUAUCCAACUUAACAAGUGCAGAAAUCCUGAUGAAUGGUUUUGCCUGCCAGGAAACUCCAGGAGGAAGUCAGUGUGGAUGGUUCUCAAAACCUUGGAGGGACUCCUUGAAUUUGUUACAUGUCCUGAUAAACUAUUGAAUCAGAGUCCCAGAGUAUCUUCACAGAGACAGCGGGCCAAUGACGGUAACUGUAGCUUUAUGCUGGGACUUACAUGCCGAGGCUUGAGGAUCCCUCCUGGAAACUCUCUGCCCAGAGUUUGGGCUGGGACCGCCAGGACCACACCGGAGAGGCUCUACAGGAAAACCCCAGCCGUGAGGUGGGGACUUUGCAUCCACCGAGGUCCAGAGGUCAGGGCAUUCUGUGGGCCACCUCACCUGGGGGACAAGGGGCUCAGUUUCUCAGCUUCCUUUAGAAGCCCUAAAUCCCUGCCCCUGGGACCCCGAAUCCCUGGAGUCAUGGCCCCUUCGGUCACUGCUUGAUCAGAGUGCUUUGCCCUGUGUUCAUCAGAAAGAUGUUAGGAAGGGGCUACCAUCUAGUGGGAGACCCUGGCUGUGCUGUGAACCCCCACAGGGCCUUCAGGGUUUCCAGCCCACAGUCCACAGAGAAGGGACUCUCUGUUCUAUAACCACAAGGAGCUGAAUUCGGCAACAACCCGAGAACUAGACCUCAGGGAGCCCUGAGCCCUGGUCAGCACCUUGAUCUUAGCUCCAUGGGCCCUGAGCUGAGUGCCCAGCACCUCAGGCUGGCCUUCUGACCAUGGAGAUUAAGACAAUGACCAGUGUUGUUUUGUGGUAGUUUGUUGGGGUGCAGCUGGUUUCCAUGUCCUUCACCUACUCGAUCUCUGUGUCUGUGCACCGGACACAGAUUCCAUGCCUCCAGGGUUGGGCAGGCCUGAGGUGGUCCCUGGGGAGGGAGGCAGAUGGCCACACCCUGGGCUGCUGGCCUUUGCAUGGUCACUGCAGUCUGCUAGAGAGGUUCCACCCAGAGACCUCCCGUGGCCUGCCUCCUCUGAGGACCUCAGGUCCUACAGCCCCAGCUCCCUGGCACUCAGGAAUCAUGAACCCUGGCUCUUGCUGGGCAGUAGACUGGGCCUGUUCUGCACCCUCCUAAGAGAGCAGACUGGGAGUCACACUCCAGGCUCAGCCCCUCACCACUCUGGCUCCUCCAAGGUCCCAGGUCCUCUGUCCUCUUGCACCCCUCUCUCCUGCUUCCCUCCCAGGAUGACACCCCAGCUCCUCUGCCGUAACCACACCCAGAUUUCGGGAGGAAGGUUGUCAGUGGACCAGUGGAGGCACAGAGGAUGUCGGAUGCCAAACACUAGACGUUUCCUUCCGUCCACCACGGACCCUCCACCUCCAUGCGGGCUUCUGGCUGUGCCCUCCCUGCGCUCUCUUUAAUUAGCCGGACCUUGGGGUGCUCCUGGACUGCACCCUGGGGUUCAGAGCCCCGGCCAGAGGGCUCAUUUCUCAAGGCCAGGAAAUGACAGGCUGUGGACAGGCAAUGGGGCUCGGGCCAGAGCCUGGGGACUGCACGCGGACUCUGCCCCUCAGGAGGCAGAAGCUGGGCCACAGCCCUGGGCCAGGGCCUUCCUACUGGAGCAGGCUCUCCCCAGGAACCAGGGGCCCCAGAAGCAGUAUUGCCUCUUUGUGCCCUUACAGAAACCUGGCUGAGGGGAGAGGCGCCCACCAUCAUUUAUAGAAGAGAAUUUGCUGAAGCCACAUGCAGUGUCACACACUCCGCCAGACGCUGGGACAAAGCUUGAGCGGAACACAAGGAUCAGGGUCAGGAGGCCAGUGGAAGAUGCUGGCCCUCCUCUGAGAAUUGGGGGUCACAGUGCCCUGCCUUUGGGGAGGGGAAACAAGUGGCAGCUCAGACACAGCCCUGGCCCCUACUGGAGCCCAGCUCAGAAUGAGCAACUGAGCCAAAUAGGGUGGGAGCCAUCCAAAGUGUGGGCAGUGGAUUAAGGAGAGGGGCCAAGGGGCUUCCUGGAAGAGGGCACCCACCUCUCCUGAGGGUACCUUCCUGUGGCAAGCAGGCAGGCCCCCCCAGCCUUCUCCCUAGUCUGGGGGUCCCGCGACUCAGCCGCCUGGGACACUUGUCAGUCCGGGUGGUUGAGAGGAGAUGGCCUUGGCGCCAGGCCAGGACACUUCGGGAGGUUGACAUCAGCACAGACUCACACUGCUGGCCCCUGUCGGGCAGACCCAAGAAUAGCCUUUUCACGGAGUUGAGCCAUCUACGCAGCCAGGUGGGGCUGGGGAGCUUUGGGGGCUGUGCUGUGCUGGUGCCCAGCCUUCUGUCCCCUCACCCCCUGCAGCUCCUCCUAGGAGAGAAGGGGGUCCCACCCACUCUGCACCCACCAUGAGGCUCCAGGUGACGAGGGCAAUGCCUGAGGACAGACAGUGGUAACUGGACCCUCUCAGACCCGCAGGGACCCUCCUCGCCUUCUCACUGGGCUCCCUCCACGGCCUGACUGAGCUUGCUCCACUCCCAGGUGAGACCCAGCUAGCCCCAGGAUGGGCCCACUGGCAUGGAGCAGGCGCCAGGCCAACCGUGAAGCCCAGGAUGGGGGCCGGCAGAGUGACCAGCCCCCCCGACACGCCUCCUGCCCACCUUCCCCAGCCCCGGCCCAGACCCCCUCAGGCAAAGACGGGACAGCUGGGAGAGUGGGGGUCCGUGAUGAGACACAGGGGUCACCAAAGUGCCAGCCACUCCCCCUAGGAGGCCCCUGCCCCUACCUAGCCAGCAACUACUUCCGGUGAUUUCUGGUUAAGAACUUGUGGUUCUGACUUAAGAGAUGACUCUUCCCCCCUCACCCCCGGGGCAGGUGGCUCAUUGGCACCUCCACACUGAGUACAAGACUCAGCUAGGGGCAGUGCGCCCUCAGCCCCAACUCCAGCUCCGUCUCCUCCUCAUCAGGCUUUUUAAUUAGCAUACCAGGAAAUAUGUCAGAGUUUGUAACCCUUAAAAAACAUGGUGCUGAGCAGGUGUGGUGCACAGCUGUAAUCCCACCAUCUGAUGGGCUGAGGCAGGCAGAUGAAAGCCAACCUGUGCUACAGAGUGAGAUCCUGUCUCAGAAAAAAGAGUCCCCUGUGCCCUGAUGACCAAACUGAGUGACUGGGCUCAGUGGGUACUGCAGGCUUGGCAAGGUACCUCAACUCUCUGCCAAGUGAUGCCGAUUGAAGGCUGAAGCCACUGGCCCUGAAGCUCAGAUAGUGGUGGCCCUGGAAGGGCAGAAGUUGCUGUGGAUGGUGACCACCCUCCCCACUCGGACAGCCGCUGGGAAAUGGGACCGCGGUGCCGGGGGAAGCAUCCUGCCUGUAGCAGCUCAGGUCCAGCUCGCCACCCAGGGACCCUUCAGCUUAGGGGUGGGGAGUGGCUUCCUGGGGAGGGGUCCCCUUUUCUACUAGGAGCAUCCCUGAGGCAAGAGGGCACCCUUGCAGAGCUACCUACAGCCUGUGAGCAGGAGGCCUGGCUGGCACCUGAGGGGCUGGGCCACCGCAGCGCCCUCUGACCCCAGCCUCCGGCCCAGAGCAAUGAUACCCACUCCCAUGGGGCAGUUGGAGGGUCAAGCCAGGAAGCAGGUGCAGGAUGUGUGCUCUGACUGUAGAAGAUUCACCCCAAGUCUCCAAGCCCUGCUUCCCGGAAGUGGGCAGGGUGUCGCCUGGUUGUUCUGACUUGGAGUUUCCCCUGGAGAACAGCAAGAACCCCUCCUCUGGGAGGGUGCCACGCCAGCCCUCAUCCCUCAGCCAGGUGGUAUUUGUCAGAGGGGGUGUGGCUGGGCCUCGAGGUCACAGGAAAAGAAGGUGAGCCAGGCACGGGAGCAUUCUCUCCUGCCCUUAGCUCCAUUUUGCAUCUCCUGGCAAGUGAGCCGAGGGUGUCAGGAGGGGAGCCAGCUCCAGGCAGGAGCUGCUGGGGCUCUGCCCACCAUCCCCGCAGGCCCUCACUGCAGGUGAGCGGACAGAGCUGCUCUUCCCCCUCCCCAAACCCCAGCUGUUGCCCCUCAAAAAAGACUGAGAGUCCCAGCGUCACCAAGGCAUCAGCCUCCCAGCCCUGGAGGCAUCAGGGCCAGUGGGCAACACCACUCCACCGUUCUGGUGAGGACAGAAAGCCACAGGACACCACCCCUGCCCUGAAGGGGGCCCCCACAGGGCUCCCGGGACUCAGGGCUGUUCCCUGCCCUUCUCUGUCCCCUCCCAGACGCAGGUGAAGCUCGCUCUCCAGGCUCAGCUCCCUCCUGAGCAUCUGCAAGCCCACACUGACCAUUCAGACUUCAUUGAUUGGCUGAAAGGUGAAACCUGAAAUAGCCCCCAUUGCUGGUAAACAGGAAUUUUAAUCAUUUGGGCAGCGAAUGCUAAUCUCUGGUAUCGCUGUCUCUCAGGAAGUGUGUGGGGGUGAUCCUUCCACACCGCAAGGACAGUGCCAGAAUGGCAAGCCGUGGUGGGCAGGGGGACAUGGUGUCGCCCAACCCUCUGUGCUGGCAAGCAGGAGCCUGUGGGGACUUCCUCCGGGGAGUCUGGGUCCCUUGGCCAGGGUGCCCAGGGUUUGCUCCUGGCCCUGCUACUUUCUCCCUGUGGCUCCAUGAGCAAGUUGCUUGGCCCACUGUGCCUCAGUGUCCUCAUAUGAAAAGCCACAUAACAGCCACAGGUGACCAUGCGCCUGGUCGGAGGACUCUUCCCGGAGUGCAGCGUGGGGCUGCGUCUACAGGGGGCGCCAUGCCUGAAAGUGGACAACACCCUGCACCAGAGCCUUCGAAGAGAUUCUGCUUCUCGAGGUGUUCAGUAGCAAACAGCACAGCCUUCCCUGGGCCAGCUCCACCCUGAGCACUGUCCGCUUGGAGCCUGGAGCAUCGGGUCACCUUUCCAGUCCCGCUCUGUGCUGCAUGAGUCCUCAGAGAUAGGAGGCACCUGCUGCCACGGAGCACACUCAUCCACACGUCCCGGCUGCCCACCUGCUGAAGGGGGACCCAGGCUCAGGCUCGCCUCUCCUCCCUGAGGUCUCAGCCGGCCCAGCUACAGCAGGGGAGGAGUGGCCGAGGCCGGGCAGCACAUGACCCUGGCAGCCAGCCCAGGAAAUACCUGCCGGUGCCACGUCAGCUGCAAGCUGGCCCCACUGGGGAUGCGCGGCCGGGGGACGAGCUUGCAAGUUGCCCAGCUCCGGAUUCUGGACCCUGAGGGAGUGGAGGCCACAGGCCACUCAAGGUCACCUUGAAAGCUCCUCGCAGCUCCUCUGUCGGAGCACAGACUUCCCUCAGUCCCCGUGUGAGCACAGUUGGAAGUCAGUGGUGAGUGCAGGAGUCUGUGCUUCUUGGCUGAGGGGACCGCACGGGGCCACCUCAGGAGCUCUUGGUUCUGAUGAGACCACACGUGCAGGGGCUCUGACACUGCCUGUCACCGCUGGUGCUGGGCACACAGGCACUAGGCAUAGGCGUGACCUGGUGCCACCAUGAUGAAGGACCCCAGAGUGGUACUCUUGUGUCUGCCUCUCCAGGCCCGAAGUCUGGGCUCAGGAUGCCAGCAGAGCUGGUUCCUCCCGAGGACUUCACCACACAGAUUCGGGGAGGCACCAUUUAGCCCAAGGCACUAGGAGAGAGUGUGCUGCUCUGUCACAUGAAAGUUCAUUACCACGAAACCCCAAACCAAGAUGUCUGUCACAGCUGGCCCCACGGUGUCAACCUCGGAAGCAAGCAAGAUGUCCUUCUGCAGAUGAGUGGUGCUUUCAGAGAGUGGGAUAUUAUACAGCAAUAAAAAUAAAUUAGUAUAAGUCGGAAGUGCACAUCUGUAAUCCCAGCACUCUGGAGGCUGAGGCAGAAGGGUUAUAAGUUCAAGGCCUGCCUAGACUGCAUAGCAAAAUGCUGCUUCAUAAAAACAAAAUAGGGCCGGGGAUUCAGCUUAGAGGUUCUGCUG